CCUGGCCUUGACAUACUAAGAACUUUCCAGAGAUGGAUUGGUGCCUUCGGGAACUUAGAUACAGGUGCUGCAUGGCUGUCGUCAGCUCGUGUCGUGAGAUGUUCGGGUUAAGUCCCGCAACGAGCGCAACCCUUUUCCUUAUUUGCCAGCGGGUUAAGCCGGGAACUUUAAGGAUACUGCCAGUGACAAACUGGAGGAAGGCGGGGACGACGUCAAGUCAUCAUGGCCCUUACGGCCAGGGCUACACACGUGCUACAAUGGUCGGUACAAAGGGUUGCUACCUCGCGAGAGGAUGCUAAUCUCAAAAAGCCGAUCGUAGUCCGGAUCGCAGUCUGCAACUCGACUGCGUGAAGUCGGAAUCGCUAGUAAUCGCGGAUCAGAAUGCCGCGGUGAAUACGUUCCCGGGCCUUGUACACACCGCCCGUCACACCAUGGGAGUUUGUUGCACCAGAAGUAGGUAGUCUAACCGCAAGGAGGACGCUUACCACGGUGUGGCCGAUGACUGGGGUGAAGUCGUAACAAGGUAAGCGUAGAUGA
rnacentral:rRNA from 1 species